rnacentral:rRNA from 1 species
GACAGGGGACCCGAGCGUUAAUCGGAAUCACUGGGCUUAAAGGGUGCGUAGGCGGGCCGCUAAGCGUCGUGUGAAAUCCCCCGGCUCAACCGGGGAACGGCACGGCGAACUGGCGGUCUUGAGGUAGGUAGGGGCGGACGGAACUGUAGGUGGAGCGGUGAAAUGCGUAGAUAUCUACAGGAACGCCGAUGGUGAAGACAGUCCGCUGGGCCUAUUCUGACGCUGAGGCACGAAAGCGUGGGGAGCAAACAGG